rnacentral:miRNA from 1 species
CGCGUACCAAAAGUAAUAAUG